rnacentral:rRNA from 1 species
GACGAACGCUGGCGGCGUGCUUAACACAUGCAAGUCGAACGGAAAGGCCCUGCUUUUGUUGGGUUCUCGAGUGGCGAACGGGUGAGUAACACGUGAGUAACCUGUCCUUGACUUUGGGAUAACUUCAGGAAACUGGGGCUAAUACCGGAUAGGAGCUCCUGCUGCAUGGGGGGGGUUGGAAAGUGUCGGCGGUUGGGGAUGGACUCGCGGCUUAUCAGCUUGUUGGGGGGGUAGUGGCUUACCAAGGCUUUGACGGAUAGCCGGCAUGAGAGGGUGGACGGCGACAUUGGGACUGAGAGACGGAGCAGAAGGCUACGGGAGGCAGCAGUGGGGAGUAUUGCACAAUGGGCGGAAGCGUGAUGCAGAGGCGCCGCGUGCGGAAUGACGGCCUACGGGUUGUGAACCGCUUUCGACUGUGACGAAGCGUGAGUGACGGUAAUGGGUAAAGAAGCACCGGCUAACUACGUG